rnacentral:rRNA from 1 species
UACGUAGGUCCCGAGCGUUGUCCGGAUUUAUUGGGCGUAAAGCGAGCGCAGGCGGUUUGAUAAGUCAGAAGUAAAAGGCUGUGGCUCAACCAUAGUACGCUUUUGAAACUGUCAAACUUGAGUGCAGAAGGGGGGAGUGGAAUUCCAUGUGUAGCGGUGAAAUGCGUAGAUAUAUGGAGGAAUACCGAUGGCGAAGGCAGCCCCCUGGGAUAACACUGACGUUCAUGCUCGAAAGCGUGGGGAGCAAACAGG